CGGACGGGUGAGUAACGCGUGGAAAACCUGCCGUAUACUGGGGGAUAACACUUAGAAAUAGGUGCUAAUACCGCAUAAGCGCACGGCGCCGCAUGGCGCAGUGUGAAAAACUCCGGUGGUAUAAGAUGGAUCCGCGCCUGAUUAGCUAGUUGGCGGGGCAGCGGCCCACCAAGGCGACGAUCAGUAGCCGGCCUGAGAGGGCGACCGGCCACAUUGGGACUGAGACACGGCCCAAACUCCUACGGAAGGCAGCAG
rnacentral:rRNA from 1 species